CCAUAACAUAACCUAACAAAAAAAAACAAGUGAACGUGCUUGAUCCAAACGUGACCCAAACUAUUUUAAUAAUUAAAACACUGAGGUAACGUAAAGUAUCUAUUUUAAGGGGAGUGAAUUUAAUGUUCUCAAACCAUGAGACCUCGAAAAAAAUAGGUUAUACUAAAAAAUAUUUUAAAAUUCAACCAAAAAAAAGGAGCCAAAAUCUUAUUACAAUGUUACGCAAAUAUGACUUCAAUAUUGUACAUUAAACUGGAUUCAGACUAAAGUGAUUCUUUAUUAUCCUCUGUACAUCAUCAAAGUAGUAGUAUCUCUGGUAGUAUCAUCGAAGAUAUCUGUUCUAAUAAGUGGAGUUCCAGUGCUGAAAUUUCCUAAAAUGUAGUAUUUAUAUAGGUAUUUAUAAUUAAUAGGUUCGAGAAUUAUCUAGACUUGGUGGUUCAGGAGUAGCACAAAGUACAAGGAAAGUGCUUUAUAAGGUUCUGGGCAAUGAAAUUGCACAAAAAUAUUCUUGGGAUGGGGCCAACCAGAAGAGAAGUUUGAAAUCAUUGUUAGUGGCCAAAGACAAUUUUAGGUAUCUGAACUUAAAGAUA